rnacentral:rRNA from 1 species
GACGAACGCUGGCGGCGUGCCUAAUACAUGCAAGUCGAACGCUUCUUUCCUCCCGAGUGCUUGCACUCAAUUGGAAAGAGGAGUGGCGGACGGGUGAGUAACACGUGGGUAACCUACCCAUCAGAGGGGGAUAACACUUGGAAACAGGUGCUAAUACCGCAUAACAGUUUAUGCCGCAUGGCAUAAGAGUGAAAGGCGCUUUCGGGUGUCGCUGAUGGAUGGACCCGCGGUGCAUUAGCUAGUUGGUGAGGUAACGGCUCACCAAGGCCACGAUGCAUAGCCGACCGGAGAGGGUGAUCGGCCACACUGGGACUGAGACACGGCCCAGACUCCUACGGGAGGCAGCAGUAGGGAAUCUUCGGCAAUGGACGAAAGUCUGACCGAGCAACGCCGCGUGAGUGAAGAAGGUUUUCGGAUCGUAAAACUCUGUUGUUAGAGAAGAACAAGGACGUUAGUAACUGAACGUCCCCGGACGGUAUCUAACCAGAAAGCCACGGCGAACUACGU